CACGUAGGGGGCGAGCGUUGUCCGGAUUUAUUGGGCGUAAAGAGCUCGUAGGCGGUUCGGCAAGUCGGGUGUGAAAUUUCGAGGCUCAACCUCGAAACGCCACUCGAUACUGCUGUGACUGGAGUCCGGUAGAGGAGUGCGGAAUUCCUGGUGUAGCGGUGAAAUGCGCAGAUAUCAGGAGGAACACCAACGGCGAAGGCAGCACUCUGGGCCGGUACUGACGCUGAGGAGCGAAAGCGUGGGGAGCAAACAGG
rnacentral:rRNA from 1 species